GGCGAGACACUUUAAUUUUUUUAAAUCACCAGUCAAAGUGAUAUUCAUUUAAAAUACUAAAAGUAUUUUACUUUGGGCAAUUUAUUAAGUGUUUAUGGGGCAAAAAACAAUCUAAAAAUUCUUGCAAGUUUACUUUUUGGGCCAAUAAAAACGUUAGGAUUAUAUUUUUUAAGGGGUGGGGGGAGGGAAUUCUUUUCUUUUUUUUCUUAUUCUUGUAAACAUACGACCAGCUUAUCUGUAUAACAAGAAAUAAAAUUGGUCUGCCUAUUGAAAUAAUAUCAGAGUGUGUUGUAAUAUGUCACCGACACAUAUCAAGAUAUACUCAAUACUAAGAUCAUAUCCAGUUGAAAAGUGAAAAAGCAUAUCUCAACCCCUUCAAAAACUGUUUGGCUUGUCUGAGAUCUUCAGUAGCAACAGCUGUGUGGUUCCACCAUGACUUACAUGUAUUAUACAUCUCCACAUGGAAGAAUUGGCAGCUCCCAGCCUCCACAGACAGGAGGCCCUCGCAUGUGUAGAGCUUCGUCAGUGUUAUGUCCGAGUAUACACAACAAGGGACACUCUCAAAAUCACAAACAUAUUUUGAAGACUGUCACAUGUUAAACUACCCUUUGCUAUUUAGUAUUUUAUUCGUUGAAAGACGUCAACAAGGUCAAGCAUAUUCUUCACCCUGACUUAUUGUCUGUUGUCUGUGAAGUAUUAAUAACCCAGCCCCAGCCAUGAUCAGGUGAUUGUGUUGGGGAACUGUCCUGCUUCUAAUAUCAGUCUUCAAAAUCAGUUACUCUUAACUUAUCUUCAAUAUGUUGCCCUUCUGUCUGAAACACUAAUAAUGAAAUCUGCAGUCUUCUUUACUGGUUGAACAUAUUUAACCAACUGUUAUUUUCAUGUGCUUUAUAGAUAAAACAUUGAGAACUAGAUGCAGUGAGAUGGAAUUCUGCUUGUUUCCGAGACGAUAUCUGUAGAAAAUAGGAACAUGCCACCUGUAACAUGGCAGAUACUAACUUUGAUUUGUAGGAAGUUGUUUUAUUGUUUUAAAUAUUGUUGUAUACGUAUGUUAUAUAUACCUGAACGUGAACCUUUACACCUGGAUGUGAAUGUGUAAAUGUGUCUGUAGCAGAUGUUUUGGAAGGGUAGUCCUGUCUCCUAUCUGUGCAUCAUUUGUGCUGAGGCAGCAGAAACAUCUCUUCAACCCAGGGGAGGACCAUCAGUAGUGUUUGAAGGUGUUUUACAUGCUUUGCCCAGUAUCCCACAGCAGUGGUCAGAUCUGUCAUUUCAUAUAAAGGUCACAAUAGGCUGUUUGUUCUUCAAUAUUGCAAUAUAACCAAAAUGGUAUGACUUUCUAAACUGUUCUGUGCAUGGCAAAGAACAAAUCUAUCAGUGUUAAUGAGAAUUAAGUACAAGUUUUUUUAUCAUGGGCUUUUUGUGGCCUUAAUUUUUUUCAAAUAAGACAAAAAUUGUGAUUGAGAAAAUUAUUUUGUUGUAUCACUGGUCAGAGGGUCAUUUCAUUCAGCAACCAGUCUGUUGUAUUUACACAAACACAUAUCAUAUUUCCUAAUGAGUUUUGAGCGACAUUGAUUGAGGUAUUUCCGUAACCUUAUAUGAGUACACCACCUGAUCAGUGGGAACUGUGAGUCAGGCUCCUAUAUCAAUAGUUGGUUAAUAUAGGAACCGCUGACUCAGCGACCUACUGACUCCCUCCCCAUGUGAUCAACAGCUAGAUACAGCUGUCAUUAUCAUUUUGCUACUACAUUCCAUGUAACCUGUUUUGUUUGAGAGAGUGAAUAAGAAUAUAUUUAUCAUGCACUUUGAAAAUGCAAAUUAUGUACCAUAUUCUCCUAUGUGUGAUAUUAGAUGAUAAUUAUGGAUGUAAUACUUAGUUUUGUGAAUUUUAUUUUGUGAUUAUUGUUUGAGGAGUUUUGACAAUAUUAUUCAUGUAACAUCGUGCCAUCUGUUUAUGACUGAAUGCAGUAGAUAUGUGAAUAUGCUAGCUUUUGUAGAGUGAUUGAUUGUCAUUUUCAAUUGUCUCAGGUUGUUAGACUCAAGACUGUUAUGAAGGCACUGCUUGUCUGAGUUGAUAGGCUGAGUGUCUGCAAUGGUGAGACUCAAGUUACAGGUGGAACAUGUGGACACCUUGCUCUCUAGGAAGAGGAUAGUGUUAUAAUGCACUGAACAUUUUAAACUAAAGUUCCUUGUUUUUUUUUAUUAAAAUUGUUUGAUUUUAUUACAAAGUGUUUAAACAAAUUCUGCUCAACUCACUUAUGACUGCCUGCUAUCUGUAGAGACUACUUGCUGAGUUGAGGACUGAUUGCUUCAGUUAUCAUCUUCUCUCUGGAACAGUUCCUUACAUUGUGCCUGUCAACUGUUUUCUUUCCCGGGACAUUUAGGUAACACGGUUGUUUCUCACUUUAGAGGGUUACUAUAGUACAAAGUAUAGUGGGUCUUGUAAUCUGAUUCUCAUUCUGGCUCUCGAGCACAGUCCCUGCUUAUAAGAUGGAAGAUCAAAGUUGUCAGAAAUAUGGAUGGUUUUUGUUCGAGAUAUUGAAGAUACUGGUCUGUGAACAAGUCUCACAAGCACCAAAGAAAAACAAGUUGGUUAGGACUCUGGAUGCUGGUGGUCACACAAGCAUUGGAAACUGGUUUGUGUGACUGAGAUUUUCCAGACAUGCUGACCUGGGAGAUUCUGUGAGCACAUGUCCAUCUGUGACCAGAGGUCACUAAAACCAUUGCUGUUGGAUAUGCUGAAAUAAACAACCAAAGGCCCACCAUAUUUCAUGCUAAGUGGAACUCUGAUCUUCCCCUUUACAAGCACCAAAAAGGAUGUGAUAUUGCCUCUGCUUCUCACAAUAGACAGUCCUUGUUAGUUAUCACACCAACAUUUUAUCAGUCUUAGGUUGCUUCUCCCUGAUAAUCCAGACAGACAUGUAUAUUUGAUCAUGUGUAAGUCGUGUGUUGUAAAUGUUGCUUCCAUUGUGGGAACUUAAUCAAAAGGACUUGAAGGCAUUCAUCUCACAACCCCAGGUGUCAAAACCGUUAUUUGUUGUUAAAGCAGUGUAACCUAGGACUCAUGUAUAUACCCAGCUGAAACUGCUUGGUCCACUUGUUACACAAGCUACACGUGAAAGACGUUUGUUACAGCUGUCUGCAGGAUGGGCCCAGUCAUCUGUUAUAGAUGGUGGGUGGGAGGGGAAGGCUAGUCUGGCAGUCACACUUGUGCAUGGAUGGACAUCAUGAGCUACAGCUGUCUGCAGGAUGGGCCCAGUCACCUGUUAUAGAUGGUGGGUGGGAGGGGAAGGCUAGUCUGGCAGUCACACUUGUGCAUGGAUGGACAUCAUGAGCUACAGCUGAGAUACAUUACCACACACACUUCAGUCUGUCAAAUAAGGAACUACAGAUUAUGGUCGAGUUAAUGGGUAUACUUAAACAGGUAUGUUUUGAAAAACAGAUUAUUAGGUGAGUGUGUGUCUGGGUAAUAAAUUUCGUAUUUUGAAUAUGUUAUAUGAAGUGACGGAAAGGAAACUACCCCAUUUAUUAUACAGUGUCAAAUAUUUUGCGUUGAAAAGCACUUCCUCAUUUGGAAUCCUAAACAUCUUUGACAUUGUAAAAAUUGUAUAUUAAACAUGUAGGUAUUACAUGAUGAUGGUACCAAGUUUACAUAUAGUAGAUUUAUUUUGGAUACCAUUGUCCAUUAUCUGCUAACUUCCCACCUCCAUAGUACAUGACUGGUCUCUGUCAGGUAAACCUGUGCAGGUGAGGGUACUGUUGAUUGACACUGUACCACACUUGAAAGUAGACUUCACACUGGUUGCACAGCAGUCUUCUAAGACAUUUUCAAGAUGGCAGCGCAAUAUGGUUUAAACUUAUACUAGACUUGAGGUAUGAAACAAUUUGUUCUCUGGCUGUGACUUGAAGAAAUCUGAGCAGAUGGGCUGUUAUUUUUAUAGUACAAAUUGGGUAUCGGCAGGGCAGUUGAGAUGACACGUAUCAUAGUACUCUUGUGUCUUUAUCCCGCAAAUUUCUUUUACAUGUAAUCACACUGUUCAUGCAGGACGACUAGUGCUUGAUAGUAACUUAGUAAUGGGUAGAGUUACAACUUGUUCUUCUUUAAAUAAUUUAGCAAAGAAAAGAGGGGAGUCUGAAUGAAAUAGGUGACUUGUGAUGGUAUGUACAGAAAUACAUCCAUGGAGAAUGCUUUUAGAUUUGGUGGUGCUGCCCAGCUGGUAGGAGACAGCACCUGUCGUAACAUAGGGCUUUACCUAGGAUAGAGGACACUAGCCUUGCCCACCGUGUAGGGAACACUUUCAACUCUUUCUCUACUGCAGAACCAGGGCAGUGUCACAGUUACUGUAUGUUAAUGACGACUUUUACUUAUGCAAGUUACAUCUAAUCUGUGCCUGAUGUUUUUCAUGGGACCAACUUUCACAAGAACAAAACAAGGAAUAAGGAAACUUGGAAACAUUAGGAUGUUUUAGAAAGACGUUUUCUUUGUUCAAUUGAACUGUGGAGAUUCAUAAGAUGUGUUCUUUAAGGAUUCUUAUGCAAUCAUGCAUAGACAGACAUUGGGCUAGAAAGCAUUGCUCCCCACCUUGGUUCUGUGGACCACAUAUAUACAAUGUGUUGAUGUGCAUCCAUCAGUACAUCCAAUGUGAUAACUGUUGCCAUUCACGUAUAUUCCCUGUAUGAAACUUUCAAUAUAGUGAUAUGGUUGAUAUAGUGCAUUUUGUAGUUCUUGUAGUGGAUUUUAGAAACUUUUUUCUUUGACAGACACCUCUAAUGAAUGUGUGAAUUACAGGUGACAUUUACAAGUUGUGCAGGUUUUUACAAGAAGGCUUCAUACCUUGUCUUGCUGGCCCAUGUGGUAAGAGGUAAUCCAGGUCCUCGCCUCCUAGCUUUUGAAAUGAUAUUUAAUUUUACACUUUCAGCUUCAGAAUGGAGCCAAGGUGAUUUAAGUUUCUGUCAGAACAGCCAUUAUUUACAUGCAAAAACAUUCAGUGUCAAUUUCCAGACAUGUUCAGGUUCAUACAUCGAGAGGUUGUGGAUAUGCUUCUUAAAUUAAAUAUAUUAUUAAAGAUGACACUGACUUUCUGUACCGAGUGCAAGCACCUGAUAGAGGACCAACAUCUAGAAGCCAAACUGAUCAAGUUUGUUAACAUCAUAUUUUGUGAUCUUGAUUAUGAUUUCAGAUAGUUUCAAGGACUUUCCACUUUAACAUGCAAUUAUUGACCAAAGGUCAGCUGUUCAAUACAAAACAAGGACCAGACAUCUGACCUGCAGAUACAUUCAGUUAUCCCUUAGUUUUGCAGAGUUCACUGGUCCAACAAUUUAUUUUAGAUAAAGCUAUUUUUUGUAGCUCUGAUACUUCAGUUGCAUAAAUGUUUUGAUGAUAUAUAUUUCUUACCAAGUACAUCCUUCACAGAGAAUGAUUGCGGACUAUUUAGGCUGCAAGUUUGAAUUCAUUUUCAAAAUGUAUGUGAUUGGUCCAUUCAUGUUCAUUUUAUAAAAGAUGUGUUUCUACAAACCAUUAGAGAGGACCAGAGCAUGAGGAUACAGAAGUAGUAACUGAACCUUGAAUACUUGGUGAGAAGAAUAUAAUAUUUCCUUGUCUCAAAUGUGUCUUUCACUCCGUAAUUACAACAUUCUCACAUCAGAGGUAUUUAUUUACAAAUGUCUAUAUUGUCUGUAAAAUAUGGUAGCAUGAAAAAAAAUAAAAUAAAAAAUGAUUGAUGAA
rnacentral:lncRNA from 1 species